GUCAACUACCCAUCCCAUAAAUGGGAUGGGCUUGUAGACAACUGCAAGCCGGGUUGACCAGGGUAAGUUAUGGAGCAGAUGGCAAUGCAAAGAAGUAACUACGUGAGCGCUAGGUGGCAGCAGACCCACUCCGGGAUGCUUCCUCAGUCCCGGACACUGGAAGAAGGGGAUCAUGCUGGCAAAAGGCAAAACGCCGAAGGUUUUCUUCUUUCGCGUAAGCGGGUAGGUGGUCGCGCACAUUCCCGAGGGGAGCGAGCC
rfam:Methylacidiphilum fumariolicum SolV, WGS project CAHT01000000 data, contig: 57-2114